GCGAGGUGACGAUGAAAUUCACGUCUGUCAAUCCACUGAAUUACUGUGAUGUUAACAGUGAAUCUCGACAGGUUCUGAUCGC